rnacentral:ncRNA from 2 species
UGGUAGACUAUGGAACGUAG